GUUACGUUUGGGGAAGUUGCUCAAUAUUGGAAAGGCACAUUUCCCUUCACUGUAAAGCCAAAUAUUCAUGUGCUGCUUAUCUGGUUUUAGCAGCGCUAUCUCCGCAGUUUCUUUACCUUUCAUGGGUUGAUGAUUUUGUCAACAUGACGGUCAGAUAAAACCAAAUUUGCAGAUAUCACCAGAAACUAUUUGUCGGGAUGAGUAGUUCUUUGACUUCCGCUACUUACAUUCGCAACAUCAGUUACGGUCUACGCCGCCAGUUAUCCGACUUUCUGGACCCUCAGGACAGGUGGAAGGAUGUGAUUGUGUCCAUACGGAAGCCGAGCGGGGAGCCGAGGUACUCCCAGCUUCACGUCAGGAGGUUUGAAGGUCUUGUGACGCAGGGGAAGAGUCCCACCGUGGAGCUGCUGAAUGACUGGGGAACCACCAACUGCACAGUGGGAGAACUGGUGGAUAUUUUGAAGAGCCGCAAUUUGUUGGCUGCUGCCAGUCUCCUGCAACCUUGGGAAGAAUAUUCAUCGGCAGAGACACUCCCGCUCCCCUUACCACUACGUCCUGACAGAGACCCUCCAACCAGGCCACUGGAUGAGACGCAGAGUCAGCCUCCAACCGCCGGAUCAGCACCGGAGACACAAGUACUGAGUGAAAACAGUGAAACAGGACACACAGGUAUUUCCAGUUUUAUGUACAGUGAGCUGAGGAAGAUCACGGGCAACUUUGACGACCGGUCCGUCUCAAACGGUGGCAGCCGACUCGGAGAGGGGGGCUUCGGCACCGUGUACAAAGGCUUCCUGAACAACAGACCCGUGGCAGUGAAAAAACUAAACCCAAUGGAUGACAUGCCUCUGGACAAGCUGCAAGAUCAAUUUAACCAAGAGAUUCAGACUCUGAAAGUGUUGAAACACGAGAACUUGGUUGACAUGGUUGGAUUCUCAUGCGACGAGCAGCAAAUGUGUAUAGUGUACGCCUUCAUGGCCAAUGGAUCUUUGCUGGAUCGACUCGCUUGCUUGGACGGUAGUCCUCCUCUUUCCUGGCGACAGAGGUGCUUAAUUGCAGAAGGGACCGCUAGAGGUUUGGAGUACCUCCAUAGCAACCAUCAUGUACACAGAGAUGUUAAAAGUGCAAACAUCCUGCUGGAUGAGAACUUUGUGGCAAAAAUCUCCGACUUUGGGCUGACGAGAGCGUCGGCCAAGCACACGUCUACGACGAUGAUGACGGAGAGGAUCGUGGGGACCCGUGCGUACAUGGCCCCUGAGGCCCUGCGGGGACAGAUCACCCCAAAAUCUGACGUGUUCAGCUUCGGAGUGGUGCUGUUAGAAAUAUUGUCUGGACGUCCGCCAGCUGAUGAAAACAAGGAGCCCCAGUUCCUGUCCGCUUUUCCCUUCUGGCCCGUCUUAGAUGGAUAUCAGGGACGACAUCGAUGAUGAAGACGAAGAUCUGACCCUGGAGCAGAUUUUGGACAGAGAGAUGACAGACUGGGAGCUGAGCCAGGUGGAGAGCAUCUACUGCUUGGCUUCCAACUGCUUGGAUGACAGAAAAAACAGGCGGCCAUUCAUCAAACAGGUUGUUUCAGAGAUUCACAGCGUCAUCAAAAGCAUCUCAUUGCAAUUGUAGGCACGGAGGGAAACAAGAGGCUCACAUUACCUCUGUUCCAAAGCAAAGACUGACAAGUCUUCUGCUUUUUGACUUUAGAAAGUUCCUUAUUGACUGCAAGAAAGAGAUUUAGCAUUAAAACAGCUUUCCCUUUUGUAUUUAUAUUCACGAAUAUUUGAAGAGGAGCACCAACAGGACAUCAGCUCUGCUACGCAGAUAUUUAGCCAUUAGCAUGCCAUAAGCCCAUCUUGCAGCAACAGCUCCAGUCAGAGGCAUCGCCAGAUUCGUUGCAAGACUGACUGCUACUGGAGAUCCUUCCCGUCCACAGCAUCACAUCCAUGACUUUUUAAAGAUACUUGGAGGAUAUGAGUUAGAAGAAAAGUGUGAGCACACAUUUUAAUACUUUUUUUAAAAAAUUUAUUUACAGGCUAAAUUUUUGUGUUGUAAAAAAAUAAAAGUUGUUUUAUUUUUGAAGAAAUAAAAAAAGGACCAAAAUUGUCUGAUUUAAAUAUUUUAUUUUUCAUCUUUAAAAGAAAGAUUUGUAAGAAAACAAAGAAGAACAAACAUUAUUCAUUUUCUCUAAUGACAAUGAAUAUAAAGGGAUUUUUUUUUUCCCCUUCACAUGAGGUGAACUAAGUAGUUUGCCAAAUAUUAAUCAGUAGACCAGUGGAUGAGGCAAUGUUUCCGUCAAGGUAGUAUUCCCUUUUCUAUCCGAUAAUAGCUUGGCAUUCCCUCCUCUGUGGGAACCAGGUUUUUAUUCGCUUCCUCUCGGUGAAAUGCGAGAUGUAUAAGAUAGAUGGAAUAUUUCUGGAAGCCCGGUCUUUCCACUGAAAUCCACACCGACAAUCACCAAAAACAGACCGCUUCUUAAUCAUAGAGCAUCACACAGCUACAAUAUGUACAUUUACAGCACUUGCAUAGAAAAAUAAGUUUCUCAGCAGAUGAUUUCUUUUUUUUUUUUUUCCCCCAUGUAAACCACAGUUAUAUCAAAAAGAAGAAAUUUUGUCUUUA